AUGGCUACAUCUUACAAUAUGUUUCAGUCAGAAACAACAUCGAUUAUGGCCGUUGUCGUCGAGACGGCAAUUACAGAAAUUUGUCAAUUUUUGCGCGUCGUGCCAAACUCGUACAAUCCGGAGAGAGAGCUUUGCACAAUUAUGAAUCUGGUGACGGGAGAGGCUAUUCGUAAAAUCUACCAACUAUUCCUAGUGGCUUCCUCGAGUUUACAAAAUGAGAACGUGAAACUGAAGACCAAGGUCGCGCAGAUGACCCAGAUGUUUGAAAACAAUACACAGCCUGGUAAAAGUAUGCUUAUUUUAACGCUCAUGUAAAAAUUUAUAUUGCAUUAGGGUUGGGCGAUGUCAACCUUUGUCUUAUCGUGAUGAAGUACCCAUAAAACAUGAAUCAUGACAAAAUAUAUUUUGUAGACAUUUUUUUAGUAACCUAUUCCUCUCUGUUGGAACUGUGGCACGUAAAACGUGUGUGCGCGCGAUAAUGCAAGUGACAGUCGAGGAGGAGCCUCGCUGGCUGUGCAUAUUGUCAAGUGUUGUAAAAUGCAAUUUAUGCUUGAUCCGAAAUGUGGUCGGAGGCGCCCUGGAUGGUGGGACGUAAUUUCGCAACCCCCGGGGGCACGCAGCGGCCAAAUUGAGCUCUGUACAGCAUCGCUGUGCGCCUGUAAUGUUUUGUAAAUUCGGAGGGCUCUAUAUAGCUCCGGUUGACAGUAGGUGAGGGCGGGAGGUCCUGUAUAAACACACUCACUUCCUUGACAACUUCCUUCACAACAGCUCUGCGCUGGGGAAGAGCAAGAAGUAUGAAUGCCCUGGCUUCUGCAGAAGCCAUAUCACUGUAAAUGCUGCACAUCAAUACAGAUAACGGAUUGACCAUAUAGCGCCUUUUAAAUCACCAAGGGGGAAAGGUGGAUACCUAGUCAAUUGAAUAACUGAAUGCAUUCAAUUGAAAUGUGUCUUCCACAUUUAACACAACCCCUCUGAAUCAGAGCCCUGCUGCAACUCUGCUGUCCCCAGAACUGGAUAAUCAUUCAAUGAUUCACAUUUUUGCACAAUCUUCCUCUUAUUAGGCCUAGGCUUCUAUACUCUUGUUAUCAUUGAAAAGGGCCUACACUACACAAUUUAUUUCAGAAGCUUUGCUCAGCUGUAAGUUCUUUUGACUUCUCAUUCAAUUUUUCCAUUUUGAUAUUGUUUGCUCAAUUUCACUUGUUGCCUCUAAUAUUUGUCAUUCAAAAUAAAGCUGUGAUAAAGAGUCGCAUAUAGACUGACUUUCGGUUCUUGUUUGAAAACGGAUACUUUAGGACAUAACAUAAUUGCUUAUUUGGAAAAUACUCUGCAUAGCUUUUGAUAGGUUAUUUUAAUUAGUAGGAUUUGGCGUUUGGUUCCCAAAGGCAAGGAGGGGGAUGCAUGUGUUUCUUUUAAAGUAGACUAAGCUUUGCUCAACUGUAAGGUUUGUUCAAACUAUUGUAAGAUGUAUCCAUUUUCCUAUUGUUUGUUCUACCGCGCUCAUUAUUACCUUAGGCCUAUCAUGUUUUUGGGUUAUUCAAAAACGGAGCCUAGAAGACCGUCAGAUAAAUUCAUGGUUUGAUCAUGAAGUAGUGUAGUGAGAGAGAGCCAAAAUGCAUAGAAACUGAAGUCGUAUUCAUAUCAUAUGGACAGAAAAUAUACAAUUUGGCUUUAAAAACAAUUAGACACGAGUGUCCGCUAUAAAAUAAAUAAAAAUGUAAUCGGAUUGGGCUACAUGGCCCAGAUGAUCCGACAUCGAGAGAAUUCUUAUUUUUUUUCUGCACCGUUAGCUAAGAUUUAAUCAAAGCAGAGCUAUGUCUACAUUCUCUUGCAUUCUGUAAAUUGUUUAUAACAUAGUUAUUGAAAUAUGUUAUGCAGUCUAUAGCAAAAUAAUAGGCUACUUGGCAUGGUCCUGCUGUGGGCAACCCGGUCAGCUCAUUACUGCGUGGUGCCAGUCAAGUUGAAAUAGGCUAUACAUCAUCUGUCAUAUCACAAUGUCGUCGCCAUCGACGAUGGCUGUCAAUCAUCUUCGAUAUCUGAUACGAUUUUAAUAUCGCCCAACCCUAAUUGCCAUAUAUUGGUAGACUUAUUUGACUAACUAAAUUAGACAAGUGUCCUAUUCAGCUGGUUUA
rnacentral:lncRNA from 8 species